UCAGCAAUUUAAAAGUUCAAACUUCAACAGCGAUUUCAAAGGCAGAAGUUGGAGCAUGCUGUGAGACAGAGCGCCUGGCUCUAGGCACAGAUGAAUGCUGGUUCUCCUUGCUGAGGCCUCUGUUUGUCAACAAGAGCGUUAUGGAAGGAGGAAGCAGACGAAGUGUGACUUAUCUUCAUGUGACAGAAGAUGAGAAAAUGAAUGUGUGGCUUAUACUAAUCAUAUGCUGUGGAGCACAGAUUCCAUGUUUCUGGAGCACUCUGAAAAAGGACUUAAAGGCACCACAGAUUGUGUCUGAUUUUGUACCCCUGCUUGGUACCAAAACAAACCUGAUCACAACCCGGUGCCACUUUGCUGUCCUGGAAAAAAGGGCUUUAUCCCAGCUCAAUAUAGGACCAGUCUGGUAGGGCUGAAGAAGUUUAUAGGAACCCCCAUCAAACCUCUGGGCAGAGCCGAAUUUUCCCUUUGGCCUGCUGGACAUUACUGGAGUGCGGAGCAGGCUAUGGCAGUGGCAUUACCUUUCUGUAAGAGCUCCCAACUCCUCUCAGCAGUGUUUCUUCACCCAUGGAGACAGCGCCUUCCGUCACGCUUUUCACUGAAGGCCAGAUUUGUUUGCAGAUCGGUAUGUGUCAAGUAACUUUACUGAUGUCAAUGAAAUACAGAGAACCACAGAAGCAAAAAAAUGGGAGAGCAACAAGCUGGAUUUUAGUCUGUAUGCGCUCAAGUGACUGCUGGAGAAACAGACAAAACCUCUGCCCACCUUGUGGCACUGCGGGAGUGAGAGCUGCCAUUUGUGUGGAUGAGAAGAAGAGAGAGCUUCCUGGAGAAUAUUUUUAAAAUCAAAACCAGCUGACCCCUGUAAGUGAGCCAGAUCCCGCAAACUGGACUCCUGAAUUUCUGCUCCAGAACAGUUCUGCUAGCAAGAAGUCCCUGCUCAUUUCUGUAGUUCUCUUUAAACCCCUGUCAUAUUUUUAGCCACCUAAUGAGCUGGUAUGAAAACAGCGAGCCUGGAAGGAUCAGGGGAAUUGCUAGUGAGUUACAGAGCCUAUCAUUUCCAAACUUGUUUGUUUAAUUCUCC
rnacentral:lncRNA from 1 species